rnacentral:rRNA from 1 species
GAUGAACGCUAGCGACAGGCCUAACACAUGCAAGUCGAGGGGCAGCAUAAAGGUAGCAAUACUUUGGUGGCGACCGGCGCACGGGUGAGUAACACGUGUGCAACCUACCUGUAAGAGGGGAAUAACCCGGAGAAAUUCGGACUAAUACCGCAUAAUACCUCGAAGCUGCAUGGCUUUGAGGUUAAAUAUUUAUAGCUUACAGAUGGGCAUGCGUAUGAUUAGCUAGUUGGUGAGGUAACGGCUCACCAAGGCAACGAUCAUUAGGGGUUCUGAGAGGAAGGUCCCCCACAUUGGAACUGAGACACGGUCCAAACUCCUACGGGAGGCAGCAGUGAGGAAUAUUGGUCAAUGGGCGAGAGCCUGAACCAGCCAAGUCGCGUGAAGGAAGAAGGUUCUAUGGAUUGUAAACUUCUUUUGUAAGGGAAUAAAGUUCACCACGUGUGGUGUUUUGUAUGUACUUUACGAAUAAGGAUCGGCUAACUCCGUGCCAGCCGCCGCGGUAACAC